UGUAUUUUUAAGAUUUGUUUUAAUGCCCAGAGUAAUAAAAACACUAUAAAAAAAUCACUCUAAAAUGUAUUUUUAAGAUUUGUUUUAGAGUGGACAAUGUGUUUUCAAAGCUUAAUUAUUGAAAUACAUUUAAAAACAACUAAACAUGAUCUUCAACCUCCAUGUUGUAUUGAUAUUUUUGUCAUUUUGUGUAUCAAAGUUGGCUUCUUUUUACACUUGAAUGAGAAAAUGACACCUAAUAUGACUUGAACUCAAGUUUAAGGAAGGAAAGUGCUUGUCGUGUGACGACCUAAGAAUGUGGCCAUAUGAGUUGGCUUCUUUUUACACUUGAAUGAGAAAAUGACACCUAAAAUGACUUUAACUCAAGUUUAAGGAAGGAAAGUGCUUGUCGUGUGACGACCUAAGAAUGUGGCCAUAUGAGGUAAGCUCGCUUAUUUCCAAAAUGAAGUCUUUGUUGUAGUUAUUAUAUACUUUUUUAGUGUUUUUAUUACUCUGGGUAUUAAAACAAAUCUUGAAAAUA